rnacentral:rRNA from 1 species
ACGCUCGACACCUACGUGAGGCAGCAGUGGGGAAUAUUGCACAAUGGGGGAAACCCUGAUGCAGCGACGCCGCGUGAGCGAAGAAGUAUUUCGGUAUGUAAAGCUCUAUCAGCAGGGAAGAAACUGACGGUACCUGACUAAGAAGCACCGGCUAAAUACGUACCAGCAGCCGCGGUAAUCUGAGCGGGCUGGCAAGGC